AUGGCAAGCGAGGACACCGACCCCAAGUCCAGUGCUUCUGCUGCUGCUGUGCCGUACGUGUUCUUCUCCUUUCUGUUAGAAGUCCUGCUACAGUUCUUGGCUCUAGUUUCUGCCCUACGUAUGUUAGGUUCUAUGUCGUAUAAGCAACUUCAUCUAGUGUCUGUUCUAGAUGUGUUUAGCUCAAGUUCAUAUAUGCAGACGAUGUUUACCUUCUCUCUGUCAGAUUGCAUGACUUGCUUUAUAUUUGCUAUUUUAGUCAUGCUUUAUCUAGUAUUUCUGUUAAUAAAAUCAUUCGGUAAAUUGCUCAUAUUUCCAACAAUUAGCACCCCAGGCUAG
rnacentral:rRNA from 1 species